CCCCCGGCUGACCACGCCUUGACCACUUCUGUCGUAGGUGCUCCAGACCCUUCUGCCUGCCCCACGCUCCUGUCAUCUGCCCUGCCCAUGCAUCAGCCACUGGGGCUUCACUUCCUAAGCCAGCCUAAUUUUUUCCAUACUUGGGGUCUUUGCAUAAAGAUGUCGUCGUUGGUUCCCUCCCCAGUGAAGAUGUCCUUUCCUGUUAUCUCAAAUUUCUUUUCUCUGUCUCUGUCUCUCUCUCUCUGUCUCUCUGUCUCUGUCUCUGUCUCUGUCUCUCUCUCUCUCUCUUGGUUUUUUUUUUGAGACAGGGUUUUUCUGUGUAGCCUGGAACUCACUCUGUAGAUCAGGCUGGCCUCGAACUCACAGAAAUCUUCCUGCCUCUUCCAAGUGCUGGGAUUAAAGUCCUCUGCCACCAUUGCCCAGCUUUUCAAAUUUCUAAGUGUAUCUGUAUUAUUAUUAAUUAUUAUUAUUCUUAAUCUAGGGCUCUAAUGCAUUCUGGAAUUAUCUGGUUUGUUUCUGACAUUGGGCCCCUCUCCAGGCCCGGGACUUUACUACAAGCUCCUAUAGAUCCUGCUCCCCAUAAUUGAUACAUGCUCCAAGGACAGCCCUCCUACUCCAACCCAGGCAGCAGCCCCCCUCCACCCCUGGGACACUUAGGGGGCACUUAGGACACGCCAGGUAGAUGCUCUGUUACCUGGGCCCUCCAGGGAGCAGGCUCUGGGAUGCCGGCAAGAGUGCAAGGCUUAUGGAAGUGAGGCAUGGGGCCUAGGUAACAAGCACUGGUGAGAUUGGCUUCCGCUGUAGGAACUGUGGAGUCCCGGCGAACAGGAGCAGUAAUGGAAAGAAAGAGCUUCCAGGAGCCAACCGGCAGGCUCACCCUCAGGGACCUUUAUGACAACCUACCUAAGGAAGAAGUCUCACGGUUUUUCUUUUUGAUUUUUAAAGACGUGAUUUUUUUUUAAACCCAUCUUAUCCUCAAACUUAGUCCUCCUGUCUUCUCCUCCCCAAACACGAAGACCACAGAUGCGCUGGAUCUCCUCGGAGCUUGGGUAAAGAUGGUGGUGGGUUCCAACACUGGGGAUUGAACUCAGGGGCUCGUUGCGUCCUAGGCAAGUGUUCUGUCACCGACCUCUACCGCAGCCCGUAUAGUUUUUCAAAAGAAGGUAUGUAGGUAUCAGACAGUCAUUUCAAUUAUGCAGUGUUUGUUUAAAAAAAAAAUUGCCUUCUGGAAUGUGGCGGCGCUCCAUCCUAUGCUCAUGGUGGUGAGAGCUGUGGACCAGUGGAUCUAAAGAAGACAUAACUCCCUUGUUCGGAGGUAAAGGCAAGAGGAUCAGAAGUCCAAGGUCCUCCUCAGCUUCACAGUGGACAUUAGAGCUGCCUGGGCCACAUAAAAUCCUGUUAAGAAAAAAACCCAAAAAACUAAAGCCGGGCGGUGGUGGCGCACGCCUUUGAUCCCAGCACUCGGGAGGCAGAGCCAGGCGGAUCUCUGUGAGUUCGAGGCCAGCCUGGGCUACAGCUCGAGAUCCAGGACAGGCACCGAAACUACACAGAGAAACCCUGUCUCGAAAACAAAAACAAAAAAACAAAAGAAAGAAAAAAAACUAAGAGCGAAAGAAUGGAGAGAAAGAAAAGGGACAAAACAACAACAACAAAACAACCAACCAAAGCGUCCGGUUGGUUAAAGUGACUGGUAUACAGAUUUUGCUGUGGUCAGCAUCUCUGGCAAGCACUUUUCCAGACUCUAGCAACCACACACUACUUUCUGCCUAAAUGGCUUGCCUAUUCUGGAUGUUGUGUGUCAAUGGAAUCUCACACUCUCUGCUGUUACUUUGUUUAGCAGAAACACGACCACUCGGGUGGCUGUCUCUGAGGUGUCCCCAAAGUGUCCAAUGAAAGAAUGAUGUGCAAGCCAUCUGCACCAGAGGAAAGUCAGUGUUCUUCUGCCUGAGUCAGAACAAAAACACCAUCCGGGAGGAUGGCAUGGAGACCCCAGCAGGCAGCACAGGGCAGACUCUGGAUACCCUCCUCACCCCCACCCCCCACAACCUUUGUCAAGAUGCAGCCAGACCAGGACUGCCACCAUACUCUCCAUGAUGCAGCCUACAAGAUUAAGGACAACAAGAAGGAGGACUUGGUGUUCACCUUCUGGGCCCCUGAGAAUGUACCCCUUGAGACCAUCAAGGCAGGUCCAAGGAUGCUAUCAACGAGAACCUGGGGGAGUCUGGAGAGGCGGUACAGCAGGUAAGAGCAGGCACUCUUCUUGCAGAGGACCCAGGUCAGGUUCCCGGCACUCACAUCUGGCGGCUCACAACUACCUCUAACUCCUGGUCCAGGGCAUCGGAAGCCUCUGUCCUCCAGGGGCAUCUGCUCAUGUGCACAUACUCACACACAGACACACAGGAACAUAUAAUUAAAAAUAAAGGGCUAGGGAGAUGGCUCAGGGGUUAGGAGCACAGACUGCUCUUCCAGAGGACCGGGGGUUCAAUUCCCAGCACCUACAUGGCAGCUCACAACUGUCUGUAACUCUCA